AAAACAUUUUUUUGUGGAAGGGUGUACAGAUAAGGAAAUUAGAGAACUGAAUUUUAGGCUGGAAAAAUGAGAAUCCACAUCUGAAAGAUUUGUCCAUCCAUCUGUCCUUGUGACCAUAGGUGCAAUAUGACAGAAUGUUCUUCCCUAAAAGGGCACCAGCAUGGAAAAUGAAAGAUGGAGAUGAUAUGAAGACCAGGAGCCAAGCCGUACACAGCCAAGAGUGGAAGAACCAUCGUGAAGAAGAUAGCCCUGUAGAUCAGGUCCCACUGAGUAACAGGCAUGCAUCGCAUGAAAGACAAAGCCAAAAUUGUGGGAGUUGAGCCUGCAUCCAGUUCCAAUAGGAAACAACAGAGGGAGAAAAAAACACCUGAAGCUCCUUCCGCAAGGACUUGGAUCCAGCCUCUCUCACUUCAGUUCGUUGGUACGGAGCUGUCUGUCAAGUCAAAUCGUCUUGCAACAAUCUAAAACACCCUCAGAACAGCUGCCACUGUCAAUUAUUCUCUCCGACAGCCUUGACUAUCAGGAAAAGAACUGGAGCGAGCACUUGCCAGUUUUAAUAAACUGUGUUGCCCAAGUCAUUUAACCUGCUAGAUUGCUGUACGCUGGGGCUGUAACAAGCCUUCAAGCUUCUUGAGGAAAGGAACCGUGGCAAAGGGCUGGCAGCUUGGUCCUUGGAAUCUGCUUCCAAGUGCACCCAUUUUCUUUCUCUUCGGAGGCACCCAGGUUUUGAAAAAACAUAAUUUCAAGACUUCUGCACAGUGUUUUGUGAUGCGAAAGUGGCUACCGUUUAUCUCUAUUACAUCUGCACCUUCCCCUUCCUCCCAGUAGCUCAGAGCAGUAUUUUAGCCUGAAAACCACUCUCUGAGGUGGGUUAGAAUGAGCGAGUGUGAUUUGCCCAAGGCCACCCAGGGAGCUUAAUAGCCGAGUACAAUUUAAAGUUGAGUUUUUCAAUACUCUAGCCAGUACCCCAUACUGGUUUUCAAAACAGCUUUCAAAAUCACCUAAGUGAAUUAGGACCCUGAGUCUGCAUGCUUCAAAAGACUGUAUUUUAGAAUUACCCCACUCACUUAAAUGACACUAUGUAGGAGCAUGUGGUUUUUGGAGAAACACACCAGAUUUUAAAUUAAGGCCACAAUCUUUACUUUAAUAAUUGCUAAAUCAAUUAAAACCCUUUUAAGGUUUAGGUGUAUUAGAUAAACUAAACCAAUUUUUAAGUUUACUAAAAGGAUACCUGAUUCAGACAAUUCCUCCUCCUUAAAAAAACAAAAACUUAAUUAUUAUUUUCUUAAUUUUUUAACAUGAAAUCUGCAGGUGGCAGGAACAUCUUCUAACAUGGCAUC